rnacentral:rRNA from 1 species
GUAGGUGGCAAGCGUUGUCCGGAAUUAUUGGGCGUAAAGCGCGCGCAGGUGGUUCUUUAAGUCUGAUGUGAAAGCCCCCGGCUCAACCGGGGAGGGUCAUUGGAAACUGGGAACUUGAGUGCAGGAGAGGAAAGUGGAAUUCCACGUGUAGCGGUGAAAUGCGUAGAUAUGUGGAGGAACACCAGUGGCGAAGGCGACUUUCUGGCCUGUAACUGACACUGAGGCGCGAAAGCGUGGGGAGCAAACAGGGAUUAGAUACCCUGGUAGUCCACGCCGUAAACGAUGAGUGCUAAGUGUUGGGGGGGUUUCCCGCCCCUCAGUGCUGCAGCUAACGCAUUAAGCACUCCGCCUGGGGAUACGGUCGCAAGACUG